rnacentral:rRNA from 1 species
GAUGAACGCUGGCGGCGUGCCUAAUACAUGCAAGUCGAGCGAACGGACGAGAAGCUUGCUUCUCUGAUGUUAGCGGCGGACGGGUGAGUAACACGUGGCUAACCGACCUAGAAGACUGGGAUAACUUCGGGAAACCGGAUCUAAUACCGGUUAAUAUUGUGAACCGCAUGGUUCUAAAGUGAACGACGUUCUUGCUGUCACUUAUAGAUGUAUCCGCGCUGCAUUAGCUAGUUGGUAAGGUAACGGCUUACCAAGGCAACGAUGCAUAGCCGACCUGAGAGGGUGAUCGGUCACACUGGAACUGAGACACGGUCCAGACUCCUACGGGAGGCAGCAGUAGGGAAUAUUCCGCAAUGGGCGAAAGCCUGACGGAGCCACGCCGCGUGAGUGAUGAAGGUCUUCGGAUCGUAAAACUCUGUUAUUAGGGAAGAACAUAUGUGUAAGUAACUGUGCACGUCUUGACGGUACCUAAUCAGAAAGCAACGGCUAACUACGUG